rnacentral:rRNA from 1 species
UNUGACUUGAGUGCAGAAGGGGAGAGUGGAAUUCCAUGUGUAGCGGUGAAAUGCGUAGAUAUAUGGAGGAACACCAGUGGCGAAAGCGGCUCUCUGGUCUGUCACUGACGCUGAGGCUCGAAAGCGUGGGUAGCGAACAGGAUUAGAUACCCUGGUAGUCCACGCCGUAAACGAUGAGUGCUAGGUGUUAGGCCCUUUCCGGGGCUUAGUGCCGGAGCUAACGCAAUAAGCACUCCGCCUGGGGAGUACGACCGCAAGGUUGAAACUCAAAGGAAUUGACGGGGGCCCGCACAAGCGGUGGAGCAUGUGGUUUAAUUCGAAGCAACGCGAAGAACCUUACCAGGUCUUGACAUCCCGAUGCUAUUCUUAGAGAUAGGAAGUUACUUCGGUACAUCGGAGACAGGUGGUGCAUGGUUGUCGUCAGCUCGUGUCGUGAGAUGUUGGGUUAAGUCCCGCAACGAGCGCAACCCUUAUUGUUAGUUGCCAUCAUUAAGUUGGGCACUCUAGCGAGACUGCCGGUAAUAAACCGGAGGAAGGUGGGGAUGACGUCAAAUCAUCAUGCCCCUUAUGACCUGGGCUACACACGUGCUACAAUGGUCGGUACAACGAGUUGCGAGCCGGUGACGGCAAGCUAAUCUCUGAAAGCCGAUCUCAGUUCGGAUUGGAGGCUGCAACUCGCCUCCAUGAAGUCGGAAUCGCUAGUAAUCGCGGAUCAGCACGCCGCGGUGAAUACGUUCCCGGGCCUUGUACACACCGCCCGUCACACCACGAGAGUUUGUAACACCCGAAGUCNGUGAGGUA